UGUCCUGCCAGUAGUGAUAUGCUUGUCUCAAAGAUUAAGCCAUGCAUGUCUGAGUACAGACCGAUCUAAGGUGAAACCGCGAAUGGCUCAUUAAAUCAGUCAUAAUUUCUUGGAUAGUGAUAAAAUUCCUCGGAUAACUGUGGAAAAUCCAGAGCUAAUACGUGCAACUGAGCUUCGACCUUGGCGCAAGCCUUGGGAAAAGCGCAUUUAUUAGAUUCAAAACUGACCGGCGUACUCCCUCGGGAUGCGCCGAUUGUCGAUUGUUUGAUGACUCCGGAUAACUAAGCCGAGCGCUACGGUCUUCGAGCCGGCGCCGUAUCUUUCAAGUGUCUGCCUUAUCAGCUUUCGAUUGUAGUUUAAAUGACUACAAUGGCUGUAACGGGUAACGGGGAAUCAGGGUUCGAUUCCGGAGAGGGAGCCUGAGAAACGGCUACCACAUCUAAGGAAGGCAGCAGGCACGCAAAUUACCCACUCCCAGCCCGGGGAGGUAGUGACGAAAAAUAACGAUGCGAGACUCUUCCGAGGCCUCGCAAUCGGAAUGAGUCCAUUUUAAAUCUUUGGACGAGGAUCCAUUGGAGGGCAAGUCUGGUGCCAGCAGCCGCGGUAAUUCCAGCUCCAAUAGCGUAUAUUAAAGUUGCUGCGGUUAAAAAGCUCGUAGUUGGACUUCCUAGAUCCAAGUCGCGAGCGGGUCGCUCGUUGACUGUUCGCUUCGCGCCAGUCACUGGUACGACGUCGAUCGCUAUAGCGUGUCCUUCGUGUGAUGGCGUGUACUUCGUACUUGUACGUCGUAUAUCGUUCGUUUUCGCGUCGGUCCGUGAGGCAUUACAGACACCAGCGGACGGUGAGGCGUUGUCUUCGAGUAUUGCUCGUUCGCGUUUGGUACAAUUAAAAUUUUGUCGGCUCGUUCGGAGUGCUCUUUACCGAGUGUUCCAGGAUGGCCGACACGUUCACUUUGAAAAAAUUAGAGUGCUUAAAGCGGGCUCAAUCGUGGCCUAAAUGUCUGUGCAUGGAAUGAAGUAACAGGACCUCGAUUCUGUUUUUUUUGUCGGUUUUAUUGAACCGAGGUAAUGAUUAAAAGGGACAGACGGUGGCAUUAGUAUUGCGGCGCUAGAGGUGAAAUUCUUGGACCGCUGCAAGACUAACUACUGCGAAAGCAUUUGCCGAGAAUGUUUUCAUUAAUCAAGAACGAAAGUUAGAGGAUCGAAGGCGAUCAGAUACCGCCCUAGUUCUAACCCUAAACUAUGCUAACUAGCGAUCCGCCGGAGUCAUUCCCACGACCCGGCGGGAAGCCCCAGGGAAACCAAAGUCUUUGAGUUCCGGGGGAAGUAUGGUUGCAAAGCUGAAACUUAAAGGAAUUGACGGAAGGGCACCACCAGGAGUGGAGCCUGCGGCUUAAUUUGACUCAACACGGGAAACCUCACCAGGCCCGGACAUCAUUAGGAUUGACAGGUUGAGAGCUCUUUCUCGAUUUGAUGGGUGGUGGUGCAUGGCCGUUCUUAGUUGGUGGAGUGAUCUGUCUGGUUGAUUCCGAUAACGAACGAGACUCUACCCUACUAACUAGUCGGCGGAUCGUAACCCUGAGAUGGUUAGUUUGUUUCGAAGUUGGUGGAUCGAAGUUGUUCUCUCGUUUGGUGCGACUCCUCUCAUUCCGUGGGAAAGCCGCCCGGCGUUGGAGCUUCCUAGAUUGCCGGCCGAGAGCUGCUACUGCUGGGGGCGUCCGUCGCAAUGUAUCUUCUUAGAGGGAUCAGCGGCGUAUAGCCGCACGAGAAAGAGCAAUAACAGGUCUGUGAUGCCCUUAGAUGUUCUGGGCCGCACGCGCGCUACAAUGUAAGGACCAGCGUGCGUUCCCUGUCCGAAAGGAUCGGGUAACCCGUUGAAAGCCCUACUCGAUUGGGAUUGGGGAUUGCAAAUAUUUCCCAUAAACGAGGAAUUCCCAGUAAGCGCGAUUCAUAAAAUCGCGCUGAUUACGUCCCUGCCCUUUGUACACACCGCCCGUCGCUACUACCGAUUGAAUGAUUCAGUGAGGGCAUCGGACUGGCGCCUUCGGUUUUGUCAAAGAGACCAUUGGCUGACGGAAAGAUGUCCGAACUUGAUCAUUUAGAGGAAGUAAAAGUCGUAACAAGGUUUCCGUAGGUGAACCU
rnacentral:rRNA from 1 species